UUCCCACCCAGUUUAAUUGCCCUGUGCACCAGUUCUUCAUAUCUGCAAUUAUCCGUGUGACAUUCUGGUAGCUCCUCUCCCAGCCCUGCGGCGGGGCCGGCGGAUCUGAGACGGUCUGGCUGAUAAUGAGCGGGAAGACGAUGGGGAUGAGGACGGUGUGGAGGAAGUAGGAGCAGAGUCCGUACAUGUACCAGCCGAGAAGUUCAGGUUUGGAGGGUUUGUCCUCGAGUCCUCCUCCGCCGCCGGGCUUGUACAUGUCCUGCGCGGCGACAUUGUGAGAGUCUGGGGUGGUAGUAGCCAUGGCUGCUUCCUUUUGGUGCGAGCUGAUUUCUGCCAUGGAUAGAUAUAUAGCGCAGGAGGUGGUGAGGGUGGAAAGGAGAGGGUUUGUUGAAAUUGUGGAGUGUGGCAGUAGCAAUAAGAGUGGAGGAGGUCAGGGGCAGGGGCAGAGGUGUGGAGAAAUUUGCAGAGAGUGAUAGCUAUGUAGCAUAGUAGCGUCACAGCUGGUAUUGUGGUGUUUUCGAGGGUUUAUGAUUUGAAUUGGUUUUAGUAGGCAUUAGGCAACGGCACAUAAUCCUAUCUUUUGUGUUGUUUGCUUUAUUCCACCCUAGUGUCAUAGCUACCACCAUAUUAUAUACAAUAAAUGUUACUUUCA